rnacentral:tRNA from 1 species
GCGCUAGUAGCUCAGCUGGAUAGAGCAUCGGCCUUCUAAGCCGAGGGUCGUGGGUUCGAGUCCCGCCUGGCGCG